GAUGAAGAACGUAGCGAAACGCGAUAAGUAAUGUGAAUUGCAGAAUCCAGUGAAUCAUCGAAUCUUUGAACGCACAUUGCGCCCGCCAGCAUUCUGGCGGGCAUGCCUGUUCGAGCGUCAUUUCAACCCUCGACCUCCCCUUGGGGAGGUCGGCGUUGGGGACCGGCAGCACACCGCCGGCCCUGAAAUGGAGUGGCGGCCCGUCCGCGGCGACCUCUGCGCAGUAAUACAGCUCGCACCGGGACCCCGACGCGGCCACGCCGUAAAACACCCAACUUCUGAACGUUGACCUCGAAUCAGGUAGGACUGCCCGCUGAACUUAAGCAUAUCAAUAAGCGGAGGA
rnacentral:misc_RNA from 1 species